rnacentral:rRNA from 1 species
CGCCUGUUUAUCAAAAACAUGUCUUUGAGAGUUUAUUUAAAGUUUGUCCUGCUCAAUGAAUUUAUUUAAAUAGCCGCAGUAUUUUGACUGUGCAAAGGUAGCAUAAUAAUUAGUCUUUUAAUUGAGGUCUGGAAUGAAAGGUUAGACGAAGAAUAAACUUUAUUAAUUUGAUUAAUUUGAAUUUUAAUUUCAAGUAAAAAUCUUAAUUUUAAUAAGGGACGAUAAGACCCUAUAGAUCUUAUAAUAAUUUUUUUUUUAAAAUUUUAGUUGUUUAUAAAUUUAAAAUAAAAAUUUUAAUUUGUUGGGGUGAUAACUAAAAUUUUAAACUUUAGUUUUUUUUUACAUAAAUAAAUGUAUAAAUUGAUCUUUAUUAUUGAUUAUAAGAUUAAGAUACCUUAGGGAUAACAGCGUUAUAUAUUUGGAGAGUUCUAAUUGAUAAAUAUGAUUGCGACCUCGAUGUUGGAUUAAAAUUUGGUUGUGGGGUAGGUUUUACAAUUCUAGGUCUGU